rnacentral:rRNA from 1 species
AGCAGCCGCGGUAAUUCCAGCUCCAAUAGCGUAUAUUAAAGUUGUUGCAGUUAAAAAGCUCGUAGUUGAAUUUCGGGAUCAAUAUGUUGGUCGUGCCUUGGUACGUACUGGCAUUAUUGAUUUCUACCUUCUGAAGAACCUCGAUGUCAUUAAUUUGGUGUCUUGGGGAAUCAGGACUGUUACUUUGAAAAAAUUAGUGUGUUUAAAGCAGGCUCACGCUUGAAUACAUUAGCAUGGAAUAAUGAAAUAGGACGUUUGAUUCUAUUUUGUUGGUUUCUAGGAUCGACGUAAUGAUUAAUAGGGAUAGUUGGGGGCAUUAGUAUUCAAUUGUCAGAGGUGAAAUUCUUGGAUUUAUUGAAGACUAACUACUGCGAAAGCAUUUGCCAAGGAUGUUUUCAUUAAUCAAGAACGAAAGUUAGGGGAUCGAAGACGAUCAGAUACCGUCGUAGUCUUAACCAUAAACUAUGCCGACUAGGGAUCGGAUGAUGUAAUUUUUAAUGA